GCAGUGGUGAUUCAGUGGUAGAAUUCUCACCUUCUACGUAAGAUACCCAGGUUCAAUUCCCAGCUAACGCA
rnacentral:tRNA from 1 species